UAUCGGGCAAUGGAGGCAACUCUGACCCAGCAACGCCGCGUGAGUGAUGAAGGUCUUCGGAUUGUAAAACUCUUUAAGUGGGGACGAAGAAAGUGACUGUACCCACAGAAUAAGCCUCGGCUAACUACGUGCCAGCAGCCGCGGUAAUACGUAGGAGGCAAGCGUUAUCCGGAAUGACUGGGCGUAAAGGGUGCGUAGGUGGUUCGACAAGUUGGUAGCGUAAUUCCGGGGCUCAACCUCGGCGCUACUACCAAAACUGUUGGGCUUGAGUACAGGAGGGGCAGAUGGAAUGCCUAGUGUAGCGGUGGAAUGCGUAGAUAUUAGGAGGAACACCAGUGGCGAAGGCGAUCUGCUGGACUGUAACUGACACUGAGGCACGAAAGCGUGGGGAGCAAACAGG
rnacentral:rRNA from 1 species